GCAACGGCCGGCCUGUCCUGAGGAGAGAUGUAAGGCGCAGUGCUUCUGAGAGCCGACUUCAACCAUCACAGGUGAUCAGCAUCUUUUCAGAUCUAACCCAAGCUAAACUACACUCGAGAAACACCAAAUACAAAGGUGCAGAGAUGUUAGCCAGAUGGAGAAAUGUCCACAAAUGCUUAAUGUGACCUCAUUAACCAGUCUUGUUACAGUGUCCAGGCUGGGUGUGAACAGUGAUACUCCAGUGACCUUCCUGCUUCAUCCUCCCAGGUAGCAAGAACUCCGUAUAGAUGUGCAUCAUCAUACCUGGCUUAGCAAAUGUUUAAAACUACUUAUUCUACUGGCAUAUUCACUCGAUACGUGUUUCCAGAUGACUCCAUACUCACUUUAAGAAAAUGCAGACUCCAGCACCACAAUGAAGCGCAUGAAAAACGCACGCUCCAACCUCUUCCCCAUUCACUAUUUCUUGGCAACAGAUGUUCUGAGAACACAGGAUGGCCCCACAGAAAAGACAGAGGACAGGAUGCUUUCGCUCAUCAUCUGCAGACCGUGGACACCUCAACAGGGGAAGACACAUUCAGUGUGUUGGAAAACAAGAAGCACAUCAUGUAUCUAUUUAGUAAUAAAGCCUGUUCCAUCACUCACCC
rnacentral:lncRNA from 1 species